rnacentral:lncRNA from 1 species
AAAUAAACGCAGCAUAAUACAAAACAAGAAACACGAACAACGCCAAGACAUGAAACAAUGACGCCUGGGGAAGGAACCAAAGGGAGUGACAUAUAUAGGGAAGGUAAUCAGGGAGGUGAUGGAGUCCAGGUGAGUCUGAUGAUGCACAGGUGCGCGUAACGAAGGUGACAGGUGUGCGCCAUAACGAGCAGCCUGGUGACCUAGAGGCCAGAGAGGGAGCACACGUGACACUUUCCCUCUAUCAAUUCAAUUCAAUUCAAAGGGCUUUAUUGGCAUGGGAAACAUAUGUUAACAUUGCCAAAGCAAGUGAAAUAGAACAUAAACAAAAGUUAAAUAAACAAUAAAAAAAUGAACUGUAAACAUUACACUCACAAAAGUUCCAAAAGAAAAAGACGUUUGAAAUCUCUCUGUCUCUGUCUCUGUCUCGCUCUCUCUCUCUCUCUGUCUCUCUCCUUCUCUUUCUCUCUCUGUCUCUCUCCUCCCAGAAUGGUGUUUAAUGAGGCUGGCACUGCCUGUAAGUGAUUUAAUAACCAGGACUUACUACAGGGAGGUACAUUUGCCCUGGUCUGUGUUGGGGUUGGGCAGCUGCACACUUGCUAUCACUUGAUUAUUCUGUCUGUCUGACUCUAAUGUGUCCCCCUGCUGCCGGCUGGUACCGUCGCUGCAACCAUGUAUCCCCCUGCUGCCGGCUGGUACCGUCGCUGCAACCAUGUAUCCCCCUGCUGCCGGCUGGUACCAUCGCUGCAACCAUGUAUCCCCCUGCUGCCGGCUGGUACCGUCGCUGCAACCAUGUAUCCCCCUGCUGCCGGCUGGUACCGUCGCUGCAACCAUGUAUCCCCCUGCUGCCAGUUGGUACCUGUCGACUACCACCCCCACUGUAUACAUAUGUGCGCACGCACACACUCAUGCACAAAGGGAAUAGGAGUUGUUAGGGAGUUUGAGAUGGGGGGCUAAAGGAAGAGGAGUUGUUAGGGAGUUUGAGAUGGGGGGCUAAAGGAAGAGGAGUUGUUAGGGAGUUUGAGAUGGGGGGCUAGGGGAAGAGGAGUUGUUAGGGAGUUUGAGAUGGGGGGCUAGGGGAAGAGGAGUUGUUAGGGAGUUUGAGAUGGGGGACUAGGGGAAGAGGAGUUGUUAGGGAGUUUGAGAUGGGGGCUAAAGGAAGAGGAGUUGUUAGGGAGUUUGAGAUGGGGGGCUAGGGGAAGAGGAGUUGUUAGGGAGUUUGAGAUGGGGGGCUAGGGGAAGAGGAGUUGUUAGGGAGUUUGAGAUGGGGGCUAAAGGAAGAGGAGUUGUUAGGGAGUUUGAGAUGGGGGGCUAAAGGAAGAGGAGUUGUUAGGGAGUUUGAGAUGGGGGGCUAGGGGAAGAGGAGUUGUUAGGGAGUUUGAGAUGGGGGCUAGGGGAAGAAGAGUUGUUAGGGAGUUUGAGAUGGGGGGCUAGGGGAAGAGGAGUUGUUAGGGAGUUUGAGAUGGGGGCUAGGGGAAGAGGAGUUGUUAGGGAGUUUGAGAUGGGGGACUAGGGGAAGAGGAGUUGUUAGGGAGUUUGAGAUGGGGGGCUAAAGGAAGAGGAG